GAUGGCGGGAGGGGUGGCUGAGGCAGGGCCGCACUGCUGCAAGGGCCUCCCGCACGCAGGCUGCUUCUAGGGCGUUUGUCGAUUUGUAGGCGGCGGUGGAAGAUGUGUUAGGCUGGGUGCAGGCAGGACCCACAGACAGAACCAGCUCUAAGGAGACUUUAAAUCAAGUCUGGACCUGCUCUGUUCUUGCUCAGUGAAGUCAGUUCCAGCCAUGUGGACAGCUGAGUGAAGUAAAGAGGAUGCUUCCCUGGUGUACUUACAGAGCUCUGAAACUGUCACAACCAGAAAUGUGGGACAGGAGGAGUUUGGUGUCCUCCUUGUCCGCACUUGGCAGUAGCAGAGUGAGUCUUGCAAGGAAACGAGUCCAUUCAGCAGGGCUGAAAGCUGGAAAUUCUGCCUCGAUGUCUCCUGCGAACUGGGAAUAUACAUCAUAAUCUUGCAACAGUCACCAGAGACCAACAAAGCAUCCUGGUGUGAGGGGAACAUUGGAAAGACAGCAUUUUCCCACUUGGACAGCCUUGGUAGUGCACUAAUGCUUGCCUUUUUAUACAAGCCAAUAUUGCUGUGGUUGAAUGCAUCCUGGAAGAAGUCUGUCAGCUGAGCCCUUGUUUUCCUGGAAGAAUCUGUUAGCAGAGCCAGCUGGGGUGUGCGAUUCCCAAUAUUACCUUUCAAGUUCAGAAGGUUCUGUGCAAUCCAGAGUGCUACGUCUCUUCUAGAGGACUCAGUCAUGUAUUCGUAAGUGUUAUCAAGUGCAGUAACACUGGAUGAACAAGAAAAAGGACCCAGGUGAAAUACAUAUGGUGACAGAGUCUUUGUAACUUUGUCUAAUUUGAGCCUUGGACAAGACAACCAGUCUCUUCUCCAAAAUACUGGGGCCCAUUCCUUCUGGAAAUUUCUGCUGAGGGACUUAAUACUCCAUCCUUAUUGUACAAAUAGCAUCUGUGGACCAAGGCCUAGAUUUGAUAUGGCCCAGCUCUAACUUCCCCUCAAACUUAUCAGAAAAGAGCUGUGAAAAAGUACUCAAACAGAGCCAUCCAGGCCAACAGCACAUCAGCUGUCUCACAUUUCAACCUGACUCCAUGAAGGACAGUGUUGCCCUGUUUACUGGCUGAAGAGAGAUCCCAGUGAAGCCCAGAAGACUUACACAGCAACGAAGGAGUCAUAAUCCUGUGGCACAACAAGGGCGAGGGUGGAUUCAUUGAUGACAGGACUCAGGAAGUGCAACCCAUUUUGGAAUGUGAUGUUCCAGUCAGCGGCAGUGUAUGUCUUCAUUUGCUCGGACAUGCUGGUCAGGUAUUGCAGUAGGAGCAGCUGAGCAAUCUCAUCAUUUGGCAGGACUGUGAUCUUACGCUGGAACAAAAUUAUGUGAUGAACACAUUGCUGUUAGGGCAAUCAGAACUGCAAUGCUACAGUUGGGGAGGGGGCUCUUUAAGUGGUUUUCUGGGCCAGAAUUUUAGGAAUUCAAAAUGGAAGUGAACAAUACUCUGAAGAGUGCAGUCUGUGUCACUGAAAGGACCUGAUGUGUACAGAUGUUUAAAGGUUACUGUUGCAACAGUGUACUUUCAAAAUCAUGGUAUUUGCAAAGCCUUUUUUUCACCUAACAACUUAAGGUGGCAGGUAUCUGCAGGGGAGGUGGAGAUUGCAGAGAACAUGGGUGGUGUUUACCGUGGUUGCAGCCUUGGCAAACUGUGUCAGAAUCCUCUGAACAUCCUCAGCUUCACUUUGCUGGAAGAACUGGACAAGCUGGACUGCUGCAUCCAUACGGGUCAGUGUGUCUGAGUAUACCAUCAUGUCACCAAUCUGAGUGGGAGUGAGGAGGUCCAAAAUUGCAUACUGGAGGAGGAGAGAGGAGAUGAAUUCUGUUACCCCACACCUGGGCAAUUUAACGUCCAUCUUUUCUGGCACAUCCUCUCUUGAGUGCAAAGGCAGCCUGGAUAUAUACAGACUUACCGCAUCAAAAGUACAUGCUCUGAACUUCCUUAACACUUGAAGAUCUCACCUUCCCCCAUUGUUACAUCCAAGAUGGUAGCAGUAUUUUGUUCAUGCGAUCUCCACAUGGGCCCUGGUGUUAGGCUCAAUGACUCUCUACAUCCCUCUUCAGCAGGAAAUCCUCCCCUCAGAAAUACCUGGGGUAAGUAUAUCCUUGGGGCAAGCUGCCCUGUAAGGAAAGGUGUUCUGAAUGAUGAUCAUGGACUGAGAUUUACUCCAAACAUAAACCUGGCACACUGCCUGCAUACCCCUGCAUUCUCUGGGGCAUUGUGAGAUGCAGUUUUUCACCUGUCAGAUAUUAGGGCUGCAAUUUUCCUACAUGAGGUCAAGGAUAUAAGCUUUCUUUAAAUGAGGAAUCAAUCCUGCACUUGACUCUGCAGGCACUGUGUUAUCAGUGUCUCAUGCAUUACUUCAGAGCACAAACAUGUUCUGUGUCUACAGCAAUAAACCAAAGAGCUUUUAUAUUUUCAGUUGUGUUAUGGUAAACUACAUAAAUGUUAUUUGUUGCUUUUCUUCAUGUUUACUGUUUGGCAGUGUGAUUUACCUCCUCCUCCUCUGUUGGUGAAAGGAAUUUUUAAAUUAAAUCCACAAAUCUUGCCCUUUACAACAAUUUUCUGUUGGGGACAGGUAUUUCUUUUGUAUUGUUUCUUGGUGUUUUUUUUCUCUAGGCUGUAUUCUGUAUUUUGCUUCACACAUAUCAUCUUAGAUGCAUGUGGGAGGCUUGGAAUAAAAUACCUCUUUGUUUUCUCCUGCA